AGCAGCCGCGGUAAUUCCAGCUCCAAUAGCGUAUAUUAAAGUUGUUGCAGUUAAAAAGCUCGCAGUUGAAUUUCGAGAUCAAAUUGUUGGUCGUGCCUUGGUACGCACUGGCAUUAUUGGUUUCUCCCUUCUGACGAACCAUGAUGUCAUUAAUUUGGUGUCUUGGGGAAUCAGGACUGUUACUUUGAAAAAAUUUAGAGUGUUUAAAGCAGGCUCACGCUUGAAUACAUUAGCAUGGAAUAAUGAAAUAGGACGUUUGAUUCUAUUUUGUUGGUUUCUAGGAUCGACGUAAUGAUUAAUAGGGAUAGUUGGGGGCAUUAGUAUUCAAUUGUCAGAGGUGAAAUUCUUGGAUUUAUUGAAGACUAACUACUGCGAAAGCAUUUGCCAAGGAUGUUUUCAUUAAUCAAGAACGAAAGUUAGGGGAUCGAAGACGAUCAGAUACCGUCGUAGUCUUAACCAUAAACUAUGCCGACUAGGGAUCGGAUGAUGUUAAUUUUUUAAUGACUCAUUCGGCGCCUUA
rnacentral:misc_RNA from 1 species